GGUUAAGUUAGAAAGGGCGCACGGUGGAUGCCUUGACACUAGGAGUCGAUGAAGGACGGGACUAACGCCGAUAUGCUUCGGGGAGCUGUAAGUAAGCUUUGAUCCGAAGAUUUCCGAAUGGGGAAACCCACCAUACGUAAUGGUAUGGUAUCCUUAUCUGAAUACAUAGGGUAAGGAAGACAGACCCAGGGAACUGAAACAUCUAAGUACCUGGAGGAAGAGAAAGCAAAUGCGAUUUCCUGAGUAGCGGCGAGCGAAACGGAACAUAGCCCAAACCAAGAGGCUUGCCUCUUGGGGUUGUAGGACAUUCUAUACGGAGUUACAAAGGAACGAGGUAGACGAAGCGACCUGGAAAGGUCCGUCGUAGAGGGUAACAACCCCGUAGUCGAAACUUCGUUCUCUCUUGAAUGUAUCCUGAGUACGGCGGAACACGUGAAAUUCCGUCGGAAUCUGGGAGGACCAUCUCCCAAGGCUAAAUACUCCCUAGUGAUCGAUAGUGAACCAGUACCGUGAGGGAAAGGUGAAAAGCACCCCGGAAGGGGAGUGAAAGAGAUCCUGAAACCGUGUGCCUACAAAUAGUCAGAGCCCGUUAACGGGUGAUGGCGUGCCUUUUGUAGAAUGAACCGGCGAGUUACGAUCCCGUGCGAGGUUAAGCUGAAGAGGCGGAGCCGCAGCGAAAGCGAGUCUGAAUAGGGCGUUUAGUACGUGGUCGUAGACCCGAAACCAGGUGAUCUACCCAUGUCCAGGGUGAAGUUCAGGUAACACUGAAUGGAGGCCCGAACCCACGCACGUUGAAAAGUGCGGGGAUGAGGUGUGGGUAGCGGAGAAAUUCCAAUCGAACCUGGAGAUAGCUGGUUCUCCCCGAAAUAGCUUUAGGGCUAGCCUUAAGUGUAAGAGUCUUGGAGGUAGAGCACUGAUUGGACUAGGGGUCCUCAUCGGAUUACCGAAUUCAGUCAAACUCCGAAUGCCAAUGACUUAUCCUUAGGAGUCAGACUGCGAGUGAUAAGAUCCGUAGUCAAAAGGGAAACAGCCCAGACCGCCAGCUAAGGUCCCAAAGUGUGUAUUAAGUGGAAAAGGAUGUGGAUUUUGCUUAGACAACUAGGAUGUUGGCUUAGAAGCAGCCACCAUUUAAAGAGUGCGUAAUAGCUCACUAGUCGAGUGACUCUGCGCCGAAAAUGUACCGGGGCUAAAUACACCACCGAAGCUGCGGAUUGAUACCAAUGGUAUCAGUGGUAGGGGAGCGUUCUAAGGACAGUGAAGUCAGACCGUAAGGACUGGUGGAGUGCUUAGAAGUGAGAAUGCCGGUAUGAGUAGCGAAAGACGGGUGAGAAUCCCGUCCACCGAAUGCCUAAGGUUUCCUGAGGAAGGCUCGUCCGCUCAGGGUUAGUCAGGACCUAAGCCGAGGCCGACAGGCGUAGGCGAUGGACAACAGGUUGAUAUUCCUGUACCACCUCUUUAUCGUUUGAGCAAUGGAGGGACGCAGAAGGAUAGAAGAAGCGUGCGAUUGGUUGUGCACGUCCAAGCAGUUAGGCUGAUAAGUAGGCAAAUCCGCUUAUCAUAAAGGCUGAGCUGUGAUGGGGAAGCUCCUUAUGGAGCGAAGUCUUUGAUUCCCCGCUGCCAAGAAAAGCUUCUAGCGAGAUAAAAGGUGCCUGUACCGCAAACCGACACAGGUAGGCGAGGAGAGAAUCCUAAGGUGUGCGAGAGAACUCUGGUUAAGGAACUCGGCAAAAUGACCCCGUAACUUCGGGAGAAGGGGUGCUUUCUUAACGGAAAGCCGCAGUGAAUAGGCCCAAGCGACUGUUUAGCAAAAACACAGCUCUCUGCGAAGCCGUAAGGCGAAGUAUAGGGGGUGACACCUGCCCGGUGCUGGAAGGUUAAGGAGAGGGGUUAGCGUAAGCGAAGCUCUGAACUGAAGCCCCAGUAAACGGCGGCCGUAACUAUAACGGUCCUAAGGUAGCGAAAUUCCUUGUCGGGUAAGUUCCGACCCGCACGAAAGGUGUAACGAUUUGGGCACUGUCUCAACCAGAGACUCGGUGAAAUUAUAGUACCUGUGAAGAUGCAGGUUACCCGCGACAGGACGGAAAGACCCCGUGGAGCUUUACUGUAGCCUGAUAUUGAAUUUUGGUACAGUUUGUACAGGAUAGGCGGGAGCCAUUGAAACCGGAGCGCUAGCUUCGGUGGAGGCGCUGGUGGGAUACCGCCCUGACUGUAUUGAAAUUCUAACCUACGGGUCUUAUCGACCCGGGAGACAGUGUCAGGUGGGCAGUUUGACUGGGGCGGUCGCCUCCUAAAGUGUAACGGAGGCGCCCAAAGGUUCCCUCAGAAUGGUUGGAAAUCAUUCGUAGAGUGCAAAGGCAUAAGGGAGCUUGACUGCGAGACCUACAAGUCGAGCAGGGACGAAAGUCGGGCUUAGUGAUCCGGUGGUUCCGCAUGGAAGGGCCAUCGCUCAACGGAUAAAAGCUACCCCGGGGAUAACAGCUUAUCUCCCCCAAGAGUCCACAUCGACGGGGAGGUUUGGCACCUCGAUGUCGGCUCAUCGCAUCCUGGGGCUGUAGUCGGUCCCAAGGGUUGGGCUGUUCGCCCAUUAAAGCGGUACGCGAGCUGGGUUCAGAACGUCGUGAGACAGUUCGGUCCCUAUCCGUCGUGGGCGUAGGAAAUUUGAGAGGAGCUGUCCUUAGUACGAGAGGACCGGGAUGGACGCACCGCUGGUGUACCAGUUGUUCUGCCAAGGGCAUAGCUGGGUAGCUAUGUGCGGAAGGGAUAAGUGCUGAAAGCAUCUAAGCAUGAAGCCCCCCUCAAGAUGAGAUUUCCCAUAGCGUAAGCUAGUAAGAUCCCUGAAAGAUGAUCAGGUUGAUAGGUUCGAGGUGGAAGCAUGGUGACAUGUGGAGCUGACGAAUACUAAUAGAUCGAGGACUUAACCAU
rnacentral:rRNA from 1 species